rnacentral:rRNA from 1 species
UGGGGAAUAUUGCACAAUGGGGAAAGACCCUGAUGCAGCGACGCCGCGUGAGCGAUGAAGUAUUUCGGUAUGUAAAGCUCUAUCAGCAGGGAAGAAAUGACGUACCUGACUAAGAAGCCCCGGCUAACUACGUGCCAGCAGCCGCGGUAAUACGUAGGGGGCAAGCGUUAUCCGGAUUUACUGGGUGUAAAGGGAGCGUAGACGGAGAGGCAAGUCUGGAGUGAAAGCCCGGGGCUCAACCCCAGGGCAGCUGCUUUGGAAAUACUGUGGAUCUAGAGUGCCGGAGAGGUAAGCGGAAUUCCUAGUGUAGCGGUGAAAUGCGUAGAUAUUAGGAGGAACACCAGUGGCGAAGGCGGCUUACUGGACGGUAACUGACGUUGAGGCUCGAAAGCGUGGGGAUCAAACAGGAUUAGAUACCC